rnacentral:rRNA from 1 species
UACGAAGGUGGCAAGCGUUACUCGGAAUUACUAGGCGUAAAGGGCAGGUAGGUGGUUUGAUAAGUCUGUUGUGAAAGCUCCUGGCUUAACUGGGAGAGGUCAACAGAAACUAUCGAACUGGAGUAUAGGAGAGGGUACUGGAAUUCCCGGUGUAGCGGUGAAAUGCGCAGAGAUCGGGAGGAACACCUAUGGCGAAAGCAGGUACCUGGACUGCACCUGACACUGAUGCGCGAAAGCUAGGGGGGCAAACAGG